rnacentral:rRNA from 1 species
UACGUAGGGUGCAAGCGUUAAUCGGAAUUACUGGGCGUAAAGCGUGCGCAGGCGGUGAUGUAAGACAGAUGUGAAAUCCCCGGGCUUAACCUGGGAAUGGCAUUGGUGACUGCACGGCUAGAGUGUGUCAGAGGGGGGUAGAAUUCCACGUGUAGCAGUGAAAUGCGUAGAGAUGUGGAGGAAUACCGAUGGCGAAGGCAGCCCCCUGGGAUAACACUGACGCUCAUGCACGAAAGCGUGGGGAGCAAACAGG